ACUGCCAUAUCAUGUUGAAACACCAGUUCCCAUAUGAUCACUGAAGUUAAGCAAUAGUCAGUAUCGAGAUGGGUGACCGCUUGUGAAUACCAAGUGUUGUAA